rnacentral:rRNA from 1 species
GACGAACGCUGGCGGCGUGCCUAAUACAUGCAAGUAGAACGCUGAAGGAGGAGCUUGCUUCUCUGGAUGAGUUGCGAACGGGUGAGUAACGCGUAGGUAACCUGCCUGGUAGCGGGGGAUAACUAUUGGAAACGAUAGCUAAUACCGCAUAAGAGUAGAUGUUGCAUGACAUUUGCUUAAAAGGUGCAAUUGCAUCACUACCAGAUGGACCUGCGUUGUAUUAGCUAGUUGGUGAGGUAACGGCUCACCAAGGCGACGAUACAUAGCCGACCUGAGAGGGUGAUCUGCCACACUGGGACUGGAACACGGCCCAGAAUCCUACGGGAGGCAGCAGUAGGGAAUCUUCGGCAAUGGACGGAAGUCUGACCGAGCAACGCCGCGUGAGUGAAGAAGGUUUUCGGAUCGUAAAGCUCUGUUGUAAGAGAAGGACGAGUGUGAGAGUGGAAAGUUCACACUGUGACGGUAUCUUACCAGAAAGGGACGGCUAACUACGUG